rnacentral:lncRNA from 1 species
UUCUAUGAGUCACCACGGCCUGCUGGCCUGCAUAAAAAUUGUGUACAGUAGCUUCAUAAUAAAACUGUUCGCCCUACUUGAUCGGCGUAGGCGUGACUCUUGCAAAGGUAUUGUUUGUCUUUAGGUCGCUCCUGAUCACAUACUUUUUCCUUACUCCUAGCUGUACCUAGGAGUUUUGAUCAUGCCGACUCCAGCUGAUCAGUCGAAUUGCGCUGGGGGCUCAAGGACUACAGUCAUACAGAGCACGUACGUACAUUGUCAUACCCUGUCAACGUUACCACGUCCUCGCGCACACCACCACCACCCACCACUCAAAAAGGCGUCGCUGCGCAACGUGCAGGUGUUGUCGAGGCUAGGAUGGGGCGCAGCGGCUUUGGUGAGUGGGUAAGGAGGCGAACCAUGCGCGGUGGUGGAGCACGUGCAACGGCAUUGUGGAGGUCAGUGCAAUCCCUCCGCGGUACAACACUAUCCGCGGAACCAACACUAUCCAGCAGAGUUGAGGCAGGGAAGUUGCACCUGCGGGGGAAGCAGGGUAAGCUCCGGGACCGAAACCCUCGUAGGCGAGGGUGGUGUUGCAGGAGGGUAGUGUUGUGAGUAGUGCACAUGACGGAGUGGUGAUCUGAUGAGGUGAGGUGAGGUGCUGCCACGCGGCGAGCUAUAGCCACCGGGCCCACCGGAGAUGCCACCGCCCCGACGGCGUGCCCUGCCCGCCUGCCGGGUAUGGGCCCCCCCGGGGUGAACUAACCCCCUGUUGCGGGUCGACAGACCAGCCCCUCAAUUAGAGCGGGGCCGGUCCGGCCAGGGACCAGUUAGUGAGGCCGGUCACGGCCAGGGACCGUUGCGUGGCCUCAGGGUGUGUCGAGUAGUGGCCUCAGUGUCGUGGUGAGGUAGCCACGGUGGCUUGUAGGGUUCUGUUCCAGGGCUCAAGGCGCCGAUAAGGCUGCACCUCAUCACGGGGAGGGGCGCCCCUCAAGGUGAUGCACCCGGGACCCACCCGGGGUGGGCAAACAGCCGCAUUUGCAAAUGGUGCGAAGGCUGCCUGAGGGGGAAUUGUGCCGCAGCACGUGCGGUGAGGUUGGUUGUGAGCCCGGGCCUUCGUAGCCACCGUGCACUCUUUCAUUAUCGAUUACAUGAGGUAGAGAUUCAGGGUCGCGCGCCCCCGGUCGAGCAGGAGGGGACUGUGGGCACCCCUCACGCCCCUCUCCUCCCUCCGCUAGGGGGAGAGUGCUUCGGCGGUCGUUGCCGUUGGGGUAUACGGUUAGGUGUUGGUGCACAACAGAAACAUAUACACACACAUACACGCAUCACACACAAAUACACAUACACACACAUACACACACAGGGUUUCCGGGUUUCCUCUGUCUUAGUGAACCGUGUUUGUGUGUCUGUGUUUGUCGCGAGAAACCGACCAGUGCCGCCGCAGAGACCAGAUCAGAAAGGCCAACCCAUGGUGCAUGGGGCGGAUACAGGGUACCGUGGGUGGGGCGCAGACGAGAUGUGCGCAUACAUACAUACAUACAUACAUACAUACAUACAUACAUAAUUAGUACAUACAUGCGUACAUACGUACAUACGUACAUACAUUCACACGUCCAUGUGCCCAUCCGUGCAUUUAUCCCGCCCUGUCCACCCAUCUGUUCACACAUAUAGCCAUCCGUUCCCGCUAUCCGCCCGUCCACAGUCCCUUUCCGGCGCGCCACUCCGCCUGCCAGCUGCGCUCUACACAGCCACACGGGAAACUCGGCAACAUCUGCUGCUGCUGCUGCGGUGGCCCCAAAUGCAUAAAAAAGAAUUUUGUCCUAACUUGGCUACUUCGCAACGCGGUAGAUAGUAAGUCUACAUCCCCCUGGCCAGACCACCUACGUAUCAAACUGGCUAUGUUAAACACAUGACGUCGGAAGUAGCAAUAGCAACAUGUGCCACUGUCACAUCGACUCGGCCCGCACCGGCCCGCUGCUGUUUGACUGUGUGCCGAGAAAUCUGUUCGGCGGCCCGUUGCAGUCCAGGAGGCGGAAUCGUUCGAGAGAUUGUCGAGAGAAGUCCAACAGCCCAACAUCGGCCAAACGACACAUGACUGACCUCCAUUGAGGGCCUUACGCGGGCCCCUUGAGCGGACCCUUGCUGCAUCCCAAUACUCAGAGGACGAGGGACACAGGGACACAGAUCAAGUUCAUGAACAACACGAGCGACGCCCAAUCGUGCACAUCGUCACUUGAUCAUCAGCCACUGGCCGUUGAUUGGCUCAGCCGUCCAAGCGCGCCUCAUGGACAUGCAAUGUGACAGACUCGUAUAGCAAAACGGUCGGCGCGUUGAAGGGGAAAUAACGCAGAAAAGGAAUUAGCCAGUGCUAGGGAGGAAAAUCCCACAGAGAUACACGACACCACGUCAUCCCCACCUCCAAAACAUGCACACACGUACAUAUAUAGGUAUAGCCAAGUACAAUGAAAGAGGUCACAGAAAAGAGAGGCAACGACAUCAAAACCCACUUCUGCGGUACGCUACACACCAAUACACACCAAUUCAACGGGUUGCAUGCCCAAGCGGCCAGUUGCUAAUAUCUUUGUUUUAUCAUGAAAUUAAUGUGCUUGGACACACAUGCGCGCAGACGGGGGAAACUGCGACCGGGGCAAGAGCGCUAAGAAAGCGCGUUGCCGCUGUCGCGUUCCGUUAUUACUCUCCGUUGCUGUUUUCCGUUGCCGUUUUCCGUUGCCGUUAGCGUCUUUGCGAUAUUCACGAGAUCUGCAGCGGCAAACCCGCCGCAACUUGUCUGCAAACAACGUUCACAUGGCCCUUUCGACGCCGCAUAUGGAUGAAAGGAAACCCACGAUGUGCGCAACCUGCUUACCUGCUAGCUUGUCAACGACGAAUAGCUCGCUCGCGCAGGUGUACCUUCUCCG